rnacentral:rRNA from 1 species
GACGAACGCUGGCGGCGUGCCUAACACAUGCAAGUCGAACGAAAAGGCCCUGCUUUUGUUGCGUGAUCGAGUGGCGAACGGGUGAGUAACACGUGAGUAACCUGCCCAUGACUUUGGGAUAACUUCAGGAAACUAGGGCUAAUACCGCAUAAGAGCUCCUGCCGCAUGGUGGUGGUUGGAAAAUUUCGGCGGUUCGGGAUGGACUCGCGGCUUAUCAGCUUGUUGGUGGGGUGGUGGCGUACCAACGCUUUGACGGGUAGGCUGCCUGAGGGGGUGGGCUGACACAUCAGGACUGAGCUACGGCACAGACUCGAACGUGAGGCAACGGUGGAGAGUGUUGCACAGUAGGAGGGAGCCUGAUGCAACGAAGCCGCGUGCGGGAUAACAGGAUUCUGGUUGUAAACUAAUUUCGUGUGUGACAGAGAGUUAGUGACGGUAAUGAAUAAAGAAGCAACGGCUAACUACGUG